UGGAUCCAGACUUUGAUUCUGGCUCAGGAUGAACGCUAGCUACAGGCUUAACACAUGCAAGUCGAGGGGAAACGACAUCGAAAGCUUGCUUUUGAUGGGCGUCGACCGGCGCACGGGUGAGUAACGCGUAUCCAACCUGCCCAUCACUUGGGGAUAACCUUGCGAAAGUAAGACUAAUACCCAAUGAUAUCUCUAGAAGACAUCUGAAAGAGAUUAAAGAUUUAUCGGUGAUGGAUGGGGAUGCGUCUGAUUAGCUUGUUGGCGGGGUAACGGCCCACCAAGGCGACGAUCAGUAGGGGUUCUGAGAGGAAGGUCCCCCACAUUGGAACUGAGACACGGUCCAAACUCCUACGGGAGGCAGCAGUGAGGAAUAUUGGUCAAUGGACGAGAGUCUGAACCAGCCAAGUAGCGUGCAGGAUGACGGCCCUAUGGGUUGUAAACUGCUUUUAUAAGGGAAUAAAGUGAGAGUCGUGACUCUUUUUGCAUGUACCUUAUGAAUAAGGACCGGCUAAUUCCGUGCCAGCAGCCGCGGUAAUACGGAAGGUCCGGGCGUUAUCCGGAUUUAUUGGGUUUAAAGGGAGCGUAGGCCGGAGAUUAAGCGUGUUGUGAAAUGUAGACGCUCAACGUCUGCACUGCAGCGCGAACUGGUUUCCUUGAGUACGCACAAAGUGGGCGGAAUUCGUGGUGUAGCGGUGAAAUGCUUAGAUAUCACGAAGAACUCCGAUUGCGAAGGCAGCUCACUGGAGCGCAACUGACGCUGAAGCUCGAAAGUGCGGGUAUCGAACAGGAUUAGAUACCCUGGUAGUCCGCACGGUAAACGAUGGAUGCCCGCUGUUGGUCUGAAUAGGUCAGCGGCCAAGCGAAAGCAUUAAGCAUCCCACCUGGGGAGUACGCCGGCAACGGUGCAACUCAAAUGAAUUGACGGA
rnacentral:rRNA from 2 species